AGUAGUGAUGCUAGUCGGGCGGGAGGGUGCGGGCAGCAAUCGGUUGAAGAGCAUGCACUUAGUUUUACUAGCAUUUAAAAUCAGUUGGAGGUCACGAAGGAGUGUUGUAUGGCGUUGAAGCUCGUUUGAAGGUCUGUUAGCACAGUGUCCAAAGAUGGCUCAGAAGUAUACAGAAUGGUGUCGUCUGCGUAGAGGUGGAUCAGAGAAUUACCAGCAGCAAGAGCGACAUCAUUGAUAUAUACAGAGAAAAGAGUAGGCCCGAGAAUUGAACAUUUAUAAGGUGAUGUGGAAGUAUUGAUGAUCCGUUUACAGGUUCAAAUUCCAAAUAGUCUUAGUGUACUUCCAGGUAACACAUCAGAUGAGGUUUUGCAUAUGUUAAUCCAUGUUUAAAGCACCUCAAUACAUGUAUAUUGACAUUUAAUAUCCAUUGAUGCAUUAGUUAUGAGGUCCCUUUGUGGGUGAAUACAUUUCUGCAUAUUGGUUUGAUGUGCUCUCUUUUUAACUUGUGUGUCCGGUUACAUAGUCUGUAGGAAAGAGCAGCGCAGCCCUCCACAUAGCACGGACAGUGUGUCGCCGAGCAGAAUGCAGGUCAAUUUGAGGUAAUCAUAUGGUUCAGACCAACCACUGUAAAACAGUCAUCCUGAACAUUGUCCCAGAAACAGCCAUAUUAACUAUAACACUGUCUUUUUGUUCAGUGUUUCCCCUAUAGUGCGGUCAGGUGAGGCCGAUCCUGAUGUUGCCACAUUUUUGAACAGAUUGCGCAACUACCUGUUUCCAGUGGCCAGGUACACAGCCAUGAAAUAAGGUAAUGAGAAAAUCUACAAAAGACCUGAAUGACACAUCUACACAUGAAUGAACAGACUGGGGAACUUUGAAACAACAUUUAUUCUGUUUAAGGAUCAUCAUUGGCAUAUGUAAACGACAGAUUGAUGGUAAACGCUUGAAUAUCUCGUAAUGGAACUGCCCCUAAAUUUCAAAUAAAGACUUGAAUCAAGUUUGACUUUGCUAGAGGCUAAACCUGCUGCUUUUAAUGAAAUUUGGAAAAACUGCUACAACAAUAACCUGUGAUACUAGGAUAAUACCGAAUAAAGAAUUAGAAUUUUGUAAUGAAGUGAGCAAGUUAUAAUCCUGUGUUGGAAGCACACAAUGUACAUUGUUGUAUUUAAAUGUCACAGGUUGGAUCACAAGAAGCUUCUUUAUAAAGUAUUUCAGAGAACACUGGACGAAUAGCUUAAAAUAUCCCAUGGAUACAAUAUUUAUACUUAUGGGCUAUCAUGCCAUGCUGCAGUAAAUAAACUUGCUGAUCAUAGUCACUGCAUUAGCAUCAUGUUCUACAUCAGAAAUGUAAUGUGCUGAAUAUAUUGUCAUAUUGGAGAACUAUCACAACUGGUCCUCAAUGUACUGUAGGUUCAGAUAUCCUCUUCACACUGGGAUUUACAGCAUGGUUUCAAUAACUAUGGUGGAUGUGUAAUCAAGCCAGUACAGUAGAGCUCAGCCCGGCUUAG